AUUGAACGCUGGCGGCAUGCCUUACACAUGCAAGUCGAACGGCAGCACGGGUGCUUGCCCCUGGUGGCGAGUGGCGAACGGGUGAGUAAUGCAUCGGCACACGUCCUGUAGUGGGGGAUAGCCCGGCGAAAGCCGGAUUAAUACCGCAUACGAUCUACGGACGAAAGCGGGGGACCUUCGGGCCUCGCGUUAUAGGGUUGGCCGAUGGCUGGUUAGCUAGUUGGUGGGGUAAAGGCCUACCAAGGCGACGAUCAGUAGCUGGUCUGAGAGGACGACCAGCCACACUGGGACUGAGACACGGCCCAGACUCCUACGGGAGGCCGCAGUGGGGAAUUUUGGACAAUGGGCGAAAUCCUGAUCCAGCAAUGCCGCGUGUGUGAAGAAGGCCUUCGGGUUGUAAAGCACUUUUGUCCGGAAAGAAAUCCUUGGCCCUAAUACGGUCGGGGGAUGACGGUACCGGAAGAAUAAGCACCGGCUAACUACGUG
rnacentral:rRNA from 1 species